GCGGGCAUAGCUCAGUUGGUUAGAGCGCCAGAUUGUGGCCCUGGAGGUCGUGAGUUCGAUUCUCUCUGCCCGCCCCA
rnacentral:tRNA from 2 species